rnacentral:rRNA from 1 species
GAUGAACGCUGGCGGCGUGCCUAAUACAUGCAAGUCGAGCGAAUGGAUUAAGAGCUUGCUCUUAUGAAGUUAGCGGCGGACGGGUGAGUAACACGUGGGUAACCUGCCCAUAAGACUGGGAUAACUCCGGGAAACCGGGGCUAAUACCGGAUAACAUUUUGAACCGCAUGGUUCGAAAUUGAAAGGCGGCUUCGGCUGUCACUUAUGGAUGGACCCGCGUCGCAUUAGCUAGUUGGUGAGGUAACGGCUCACCAAGGCAACGAUGCGUAGCCGACCUGAGAGGGUGAUCGGCCACACUGGGACUGAGACACGGCCCAGACUCCUACGGGAGGCAGCAGUAGGGAAUCUUCCGCAAUGGACGAAAGUCUGACGGAGCAACGCCGCGUGAGUGAUGAAGGCUUUCGGGUCGUAAAACUCUGUUGUUAGGGAAGAACAAGUGCUAGUUGAAUAAGCUGGCACCUUGACGGUACCUAACCAGAAAGCCACGGCUAACUACGUGCCAGCCGCCGCCGUAAAAC